UACGUAGGAGGCAAGCGUUGUCCGGAAUUACUGGGUGUAAAGCGCGUGUAGGUGGUGGGCCAAGUCUGUGGUGAAAUCGCCCGGCUCAACUGGGCGGGGUCCGUGGAAACUGGUCGACUGGAGGACGGUAGAGGCGAGUGGAAUUCCCGGUGUAGUGGUGAAAUGCGUAGAGAUCGGGAGGAACACCAGUGGCGAAGGCGGCUCGCUGGGCCGGUCCUGACACUGAGACGCGAAGGCGUGGGGAGCGAACGGGG
rnacentral:rRNA from 1 species